rnacentral:rRNA from 1 species
UUGAACGCUGGCGGAAUGCUUUACACAUGCAAGUCGCGCGGCAGCACGGGGGCAACCCUGGUGGCGAGCGGCGAACGGGUGAGUAAUACAUCGGAACAUGCCCAGUCGUGGGGGAUAACACUUCGAAAGAAGUGCUAAUACCGCAUACGUCCUGAGGGGGAAAGCGGGGGAUCGCAAGACCUCGCGCGAUUGGAGUGGCCGAUGUCAGAUUAGCUAGUUGGUGGGGUAAAGGCCUACCAAGGCAACGAUCUGUAGCUGGUCUGAGAGGAUGAUCAGCCACACUGGGACUGAGACACGGCCCAGACUCCUACGGGAGGCAGCAGUGGGGAAUUUUGGACAAUGGGGGCAACCCUGAUCCAGCCAUUCCGCGUGAGUGAAGAAGGCCUUCGGGUUGUAAAGCUCUUUCGGCAGGAACGAAACGGUGAGCUCUAACAUAGCUUGCUAAUGACGGUACCUGAAGAAGAAGCACCGGCUAACUACGUG